GCUGUAGCUCUGUGGAAGAGCAUCUGCUUUGCAUGCAGAAGGUCACAGGUUCAAUCCCCAACAUCUGAGGCA